rnacentral:rRNA from 1 species
GCCGCANGGUUAAAAUCAAAGNAUUGGANGGGGACCCGCACAAGCGGUGGANNANGUGNAUUAAUUGGAUGCAACNCGAACAACCUUACCUAACCNUNACAGUCCGGGAGCNUUUUGAGAGGCGGGUGUGCCUGAAAGGGAACCCGGAACACAGGUGCUGCAUGGCUGUCGUAAGCUCGUGUCGUGAAAAUGUUGGGUUAAGUCCCGCAAACGAGCGCAACCCUUGUCCCUAGUUGAUACGCAAGGGGCACUAUAGGGAGACUGCCGGUGACAAACCGGAGGAAGGUGGGGAUGACGUCAAGUCCUCAUGGCCCUUAUGGGUAGGGCUUCACACGUCAUACAAUGGCCGGUACAGAGGGUUGCCAACCCGCGAGGGGGAGCCAAUCCCAGAAAGCCGGUCGUAGUCCGGAUUGCAGUCUGCAACUCGACUGCAUGAAGUCGGAAUCGCUAGUAAUCGCGGAUCAGCAUGUCGCGGUGAAUACGUUCCCGGGUCUUGUACACACCGCCCGUCACACCAUGGGAGCGGGAUGUACCAGAAGCAGCUAGCCUAACCGCAAGGGGGGCGGUUGCCACGGUGCGUUUCGUGACUGGGGUGAAGUCGUAACAAGGUAGCCGU